GCCGACCUAGCUCAACGGUAGAGCAGUGGUUUUGUAAACCACCGGUUCCGGGUUCGAGCCCCGGGGUCGGCUCCG
rnacentral:tRNA from 1 species